UACGGGGGGGGCAAGCGUUGUUCGGAAUUACUGGGCGUAAAGGGCUCGUAGGCGGCCAACUAAGUCAGACGUGAAAUCCCUCGGCUUAACCGGGGAACUGCAUCUGAUACUGGAUGGCUUGAGUUCGGGAGAGGGAUGCGGAAUUCCAGGUGUAGCGGUGAAAUGCGUAGAUAUCGGGAGGAACACCUGUGGCGAAAGCGGCGCACUGGACCACAUCUGACGCUGAGGCGCGAAAGCUAGGGGAGCAAACAGG
rnacentral:rRNA from 1 species